rnacentral:rRNA from 1 species
UACGGAGGGGGCUAGCGUUGUUCGGAAUUACUGGGCGUAAAGCGCGCGUAGGCGGCCUUGAAAGUCAGAUGUGAAAGCCCGAGGCUCAACCCCGGAAUUGCCUUUGAGACUACCUGUUGCGAGGUCGAAAGAGGAGAGUGGAAUUCCUAGUGUAGAGGUGAAAUUCGUAGAUAUUGGGUGGAACACCAGUGGCGAAAGCGGCUCUCUGGUUCGAAUCUGACGCUGAGGCGCGAAAGCGUGGGGAGCAAACAGG